rnacentral:lncRNA from 1 species
GCUUUUCUAUCAAGGUCCUUCCAGCUUUCCUUGUUAAUAAGCUCAAGCUAAUGAAGAGGAACACCUCCUGUUUUGUGAGAAGGAUUUAUCUAAGACUCAUUUAUUCGACCAGUUUGUUUAUAUCUACACCUGCUCGGGGUGGACAUGAGGCACUUUGCUACCUGGUAAAUUCUGCAUCUAAAGUCAUUCUACAGCCCACGGAUGCUUGGUAAGGACUUGCUGAGUUUAGAAAUCAGUGAUGAAGGAAGUGGUAAUUUGAGUAAAGAAGCUUAAAUUUGGGAAAGCACAUUUGACCUCCCACAUUCAGAUCUCGACAAAAAGGUCUCAGAUCCACAAUAACAGUACUUCUAUUUUUAUUCAUGUUUGCCCAUGGAAUUAACAUUUAGUGGUCUAUGGUGGAACAAUUUUGGGAACUUUGAUUUAUGUCUCUUUGGGGCUGAAAGCAAACUAAUGAAAAUAAACCGUGAUAGUCUGCAGAUAUAGCUAAUUGCUUUGAAAGCCUCAGGAUCCCUUCACCCUCCUUGACCUGUUGGGGUUAAGUGCCUUUCUCUCUGGGGCCAGGAGGAUUCCCUUCCUGCCUGCAAGGCGUUUGUGUGUUUCCAGUCCUCUGGUUCCUGCUCCAAGUCUUUAGGAACCACACAGCUGCCUUCUCCCGUCUGUAUUUUACAAUUUCUCCUGGUGAAUUUUUGGAGAGAAAGCUAAGAGUUAGCAUGGGUGGGAAGUAAUUAUAGUUUUCAAUUCUCAGUCUUUAUCUCCUUCUAAGCAGGUGAAGAAAGAACUAAGACCUUUCUGGUGGUUAAGGUCGUAAACCUGUGGGUGCUCUCGGAAGCAGCAGGAGAAAGAGCGGCUAUAACAACGGAAAUGAGCCCCCCCUCACCGCCGUAGGUAAUGCCGGGAAGACAAGUGGAGAGGAAGGCAAUUGCAGGACUUAAAGGGCAUUUGUUGUCAUUCACAUUUCCCAGGAUUUCAGGUAACAUUAGAAAAUGUCCAAUCUCCUCCAAAGGAAAGCUGAAGGCCUGGAUGAAGAUGGAAGGGGUUUGGAGUCCCAGGACAAGGGACAUUCUAGAAGAGGAGAGAAAGGCCUGUGUACGAGGAGACGUCCUUGCCAUUUUCAGCUUUUCUAAGAUUGGAGAGGAAUACAGUGUAGAGAUAGUAGAGCGUCAUAGAGAUAACGGAUGACCUUGCCAACCCGGUGGAAAAAUACAGAUGAGAAACUUCACACCGAGACCAGUCUGGCCUACCAACUAGUGGUAAUAAAAGUACCACCAGCUGUGACA